CCCACCCUUCCUGUACUA
rnacentral:tRNA from 1 species